GGGGACCAUACGGGAAGAGCUUCGACACCCCGUUUGUCUUCUCAGCAUUACCUAUUUGUUCAAGUAGGAAACAGGAAAUCUAGCAGCACUUUUUUUUUUUUAAAAAAAAUGUCUUUUAACAUUAUAAAGCUCUUUAUUGAGGAACACAUUGUAAAAGCAUUUGUCUGUGGCUCUUUCAAAAAUUAAUAGAGCUCAAGGUUAUUUAAGCUAGCAAAAGGGAAAAAAUACAUUCAAAAGAAACUCAUAUAAUUGAGUGCCAGUCACAGUUUGUAGGCAAAUCAAACACUUGAUCUUAGCCACAAUCUGUUAAUGAAUUGUCACCCCUUCUCGUCAUUAAGGAGCUACAGUAAUUCCACAUUAUAAACGACACGAGCAAAAGGAGGUGAAUCUAUUAUUCUGCACAUUUAGCACACUUGUCCACCAGACCCAGGAAUACAUGCAUAUAGAUAUGUUUACCCACCCAUGAAUUAUUUAAGUAUCUGCAAAGAUCCCCGUCUGUAAACUGACAACUCUAUGCCUGUAUCUCCUAUAUCCAUUUGUGCAGGUGUAAGUUCUCACUCACAGACACAUGUAAAUGAAAAUGUACCUUACAAAAUAGUCCAAAUGAUAACGGACCUCUGACAUUUAAUGUGAAUACACUCGCAAAGUUACCUCGAAAAUUGAUUGCUAUCAUUCCAGGGACGCUGACCAACCAAACCUACUUUGUGAGGAAGGGACAGAGUUGGGUUAAUUAAGCUUUCUGAUCACAAUUGCCUGCUUGGAACAUAGUUGAAAAUGGAACAGAAAUCUAUUCGAACAAGCAUUGUCAGGCAUACUUUCCCACACGGCUAGCGCGGUGCUUCUUGUACGGCAUAUAUCAUAUUGCUGUUCAACAUAUGCAACUUCUCGGCAGGAAAAUAACUGUGUCCACUUAGGUGAUGCUUCUAAGAAGUGAGCUCUGCGAUCACAAAAAUGCUGCUGACAGAUUAGCAGCAAAGAGGCACACCUGACCUUGAAGAAUAAAGGGGGUGGGUCUCACACGUCAUGGGGAGAUAUCAAUAACUCCAGUUCUGUGUACGGAAACUUCCUAUAUAGGGGUGUUUGGCAAAUAAAAUUGAACUGAGAAAUCCAAGUGGAGGAUUCCUGUAAACCAAUGUAGCAUCAAGGGUAGGUUAGGGGAAGAGGCAGACCGUUUCUUUUGUGCAUGUCAAAUUUGAUUUUGAAACAAAUCCUGUCAUUUCUAGGUAAAUAAAGGAACAGCAAUAAAGCAGACAGAAAGCGGACCCAUCUAAAACAGGCCACAUUCAGAGUGAGAGAGCUUGGUUACUGUUUAUAAAAUGCCUUCAGGCUCCCAUCUCCCGCUAGCUCCAGACCCUGUGGUCGUCUUUACAUCAGGACCAAAGGCUGACCAAGUUGCUCUAGCAUCGGUUUGCCUGUGACUCUACAUAUCCUGUUCUUGGAAAACCCAUCAGUCUUAGGCAAACUGUGAUGGCACUUUGCAGGCAUCCACAUGGUGGCUCUCCAUGCUGAGGGGUCCCGAAGCAGAGUCCACUGGGAGGAUAUUCAUUUUCAAAGCAUCAUCCCCCUAUUUGGUCUCUGAAGCGUCAGUUGGAUUUGGAUUCACAAGCUUGCUUUUGGUUACCCUGACCCCAAAUGGCUUCUCACGGUAUGUUAUGUAAAAUAAACUUCUUUGUGCAGAUAACACGGAGAGGUGAGGCUGGCGGGCACCUGAAACUGUCUCCAUUGUUCUGCCGGGGCCCUCUCAACCUGAUCAGGAAUUCGAGUUUCUUUAUAAGAAGUAGCUGUGUUUUACUCACUGGCCUUGAUGAUGUCAUGAAUACUCAGAGGCUGGACAAAUAAGCGACUGUCUCCAUAGCGAUCGGGGCAGGUCUGUGGUUUCCCUAGUUACACACUUCUGAGAGAUAACCAUCUGUGGUUCGUCCUCAGCAAAGGCGCAGGAUGGAGGGCAGAGGGAAGAAUGAGGAGAAGAAAUGCACUUUUGUGAACUGGCAUAAAGUUACAGUUCACGAUACCUGCCUCCACUCCUCGUUCUAAAGCAACCAUCACAAACUCUAGUGAGGCACUCAGGCAAUCUUUUUUCACCCUAGGGGGUUUCAGAAAAUUUCAUAUUGGGCACAGAGAACAGAUACAGUCCCGUGACUAUAGCUAACAAGCUGGAGCCAGAGCGGAGGUAUUUCUCGCUGGAUGCCAUGUGGGUGUCCACACAAGAGGCUGUGUUUUUUUUUCCCCUCACGUUGGAUGCAAACAUCAUCACUCAGCAAUGGAAGGCAUGUGUUGCCACAGCCUGAGAUCUCUCCCUGUCAGUGCACUGAGUUUGCAUGGCAUCCUGAGACCCUCAAAGACAGUUUCCCCUUUUAAAAAGCUACAUAGAUCUGUCAUGUAGAAAUCUGGGCAUCUCUCCAUUUAUCUGCAUUUACCAAUAUUUUCUAACAAAUCCUUUGUAAGUUCUCAAUGUUUGAUACCCAGCUUUUUUUUUUUUUUCCUUUUGCCAGAAGGCCAGAGCUCAUGUGAUUUUAGCUGUGGAAACUAAGAGACUGGCAUUUGUGUCUUCAAAUCUCCAUUUCUGAGAGAUGGCUAUGACAGUGUGCAGCCGAAAGGCCAUUUUGAGACAUAAAGUAAUGAAACGUGUAUGUGGUGGAAACAUAUUUUUGGCUUUGUUUAAUUUUAUUUGCUUUAAAACUAAUGUUAUUAAAUAAAGACGUCCAUUUUUUCU
rnacentral:lncRNA from 1 species